GCAAGUYCGAGCGGACAGAUGGGAGCUUGCUCCCUGAUGUUAGCGGCGGACGGGUGAGUAACACGUGGGUAACCYGCCUGUAAGACUGGGAUAACUCCGGGAAACCGGGSCUAAUACCGGAUGGUUGUCUGACCCGCAUGGUUCAGACAUAAAAGGUGGCUUCGGCUACCACUUACAGAUGGACCCGCGGCGCAUUAGCUAGUUGGUGAGGUAACGGCUCACCAAGGCGACGAUGCGUAGCCCGACCUGAGAGGGUGAUCGGCCACACUGGGACUGAGACACGGCCCAGACUCCUACGGGAGGCAGCAGUAGGGAAUCUUCCGCAAUGGACGAAAGUCUGACGGAGCAACGCCGCGUGAGUGAUGAAGGUUUUCGGAUCGUAAAGCUCUGUUGUUAGGGAAGAAYAAGUGCCGUUCAAAUAGGGCGGCACCUUGACGGUACCUAACCAGAAAGCCACGGCUAACUACGUGCCAGCAGCCGCGGUAAUACGUAGGUGGCAAGCGUUGUCCGGAAUUAUUGGGCGUAAAGGGCUCGCAGGCGGUUUCUUAAGUCUGAUGUGAAAGCCCCCGGCUCAACCGGGGAGGGUCAUUGGAAACUGGGGAACUUGAGUGCAGAAGAGGAGAGUGGAAUUCCACGUGUAGCGGUGAAAUGCGUAGAGAUGUGGAGGAACACCAGUGGCGAAGGCGACUCUYUGGUCUGUAACUGACGCUGAGGAGCGAAAGCGUGGGGAGCGAACAGGAUUAGAUACCCUGGUAGUCCACGCCGUAAACGAUGAGUGCUAAGUGUUAGGGGGUUUCCGCCCCUUAGUGCUGCAGCUAACGCA
rnacentral:rRNA from 1 species